rnacentral:rRNA from 1 species
GAUAAACGCUGGCGGCGUGCCUUACGCAUGCAAGUCGAACGAGGCACCGGCUUCGGCUGGUGUCGAGUGGCGGACGGGUGAGUAACACGUACGUGACCUGCCGAGAAGUGGGGGAUACCGGUCCGAAAGGGCUGCUAAUACCGCAUGUGGUCUCCGGGGGUGCCCGGGGAGUAAAGGAUGCAAGUCCGCUUCUUGAGGGGCGUGCGGCCGAUUAGCUUGUUGGUGGGGUAACGGCCUACCAAGGCGACGAUCGGUAGCUGGGCUGAGAGGCCGAGCAGCCACACUGGGACUGAGAUACGGCCCAGACUCCUACGGGAGGCAGCAGCGAGGAAUUUUGCGCAAUGGGCGAAAGCCUGACGCAGCAACGCCGCGUGGGUGAUGAAGGCC